AUGAACGCUGGCGGCGUGCCUAAUACAUGCAAGUCGAGCGAACAGAUGAGGAGCUUGCUCCUCUGACGUUAGCGGCGGACGGGUGAGUAACACGUGGAUAACCUACCUAUAAGACUGGGAUAACUUCGGGAAACCGGAGCUAAUACCGGAUAAUAUAUUGAACCGCAUGGUUCAAUAGUGAAAGACGGUUUUGCUGUCACUUAUAGAUGGAUCCGCGCCGCAUUAGCUAGUUGGUAAGGUAACGGCUUACCAAGGCAACGAUGCGUAGCCGACCUGAGAGGGUGAUCGGCCACACUGGAACUGAGACACGGUCCAGACUCCUACGGGAGGCAGCAGUAGGGAAUCUUCCGCAAUGGGCGAAAGCCUGACGGAGCAACGCCGCGUGAGUGAUGAAGGUCUUCGGAUCGUAAAACUCUGUUAUUAGGGAAGAACAAAUGUGUAAGUAACUAUGCACGUCUUGACGGUACCUAAUCGGAAAGCCACGGCUAACUACGUG
rnacentral:rRNA from 1 species